rnacentral:rRNA from 1 species
GACGAACGCUGGCGGCGUGCUUAACACAUGCAAGUCGAACGGAAAGGCCCUGCUUUUGUUGGGUGCUCGAGUGGCGAACGGGUGAGUAACACGCGAGUAACCUGCCCUUGACUUUGGGAUAACUUCAGGAAACUCGGGCUAAUACCGGAUAGGAGCUCCUGCUCCAUGGGGGGGGUUGGAAAGUUUCGGCGGUUGGGGAUGGACUCGCGGUUUAUCCGCUUGUUGGUGGGGUAGUGGCUUACCAAGGCUUUGACGGGUAGCCGGCCUGGGAGGGUUACCGGCCACAUUGGGACUGCGAUACGGCCCAGACUCCUACGGGAGGCAGCAGUGGGGAAUAUUACACAAUGGGCGGAAGCCAGAUGCAGCAACGCCGCGUUCGGGAUGACGGCCUUCGGGUUGUAAACCGCUUUCGCCUGUGACGAGGCGUGAGUGACGGUAAUGGGUAAAAAAGCACCGGCUAACUACGUG